rnacentral:lncRNA from 1 species
UUCCUCUUAACUAAACCUAUUUAUCAGAUGGGCCAAGUGGAGUUCGGGCCAGGCUCAGUCUGGGGGAGAACAGUAAUUUUUCACGCUCGAAAGGUGAACAAGUACAAUAAUUUUUGGAGCCCAAGUUUGAAUGGUCCGGCUUGAUCUUCGAGCCUCCUUCCCAGGCCUAAGCCCACUCCAUCCAAGCUUUGGGCUUCUAGAUCGGGCCAAAGCUUUAUCAAAUGGUUUUUUUGUUCCAACUGCUAUUGAAGGAGGAGGCUAAGAGGAGGGGAAGUAGGGAGGAGGUAGUGGGGC